rnacentral:rRNA from 1 species
ACACAUGCAGUCGAGCGGCAGCGACAACAUUGAACCUUCGGGGGAUUUGUUGGGCGGCGAGCGGCGGACGGGUGAGUAAUGCCUGGGAAAUUGCCCUGAUGUGGGGGAUAACCAUUGGAAACGAUGGCUAAUACCGCAUGAUAGCUUCGGCUCAAAGAGGGGGACCUUCGGGCCUCUCGCGUCAGGAUAUGCCCAGGUGGGAUUAGCUAGUUGGUGAGGUAAGGGCUCACCAAGGCGACGAUCCCUAGCUGGUCUGAGAGGAUGAUCAGCCACACUGGAACUGAGACACGGUCCAGACUCCUACGGGAGGCAGCAGUGGGGAAUAUUGCACAAUGGGCGCAAGCCUGAUGCAGCCAUGCCGCGUGUAUGAAGAAGGCCUUCGGGUUGUAAAGUACUUUCAGCAGUGAGGAAGGGGGUAUCGUUAAUAGCGGUAUCCUUUGACGUUAGCUGCAGAAGAAGCACCGGCUAACUCCGUGCCAGCAGCCGCGGUAAUACGGAGGGUGCGAGCGUUAAUCGGAAUUACUGGGCGUAAAGCGCAUGCAGGUGGUUUGUUAAGUCAGAUGUGAAAGCCCGGGGCUCAACCUCGGAAUUGCAUUUGAAACUGGCAGGCUAGAGUACUGUAGAGGGGGGUAGAAUUUCAGGUGUAGCGGUGAAAUGCGUAGAGAUCUGAAGGAAUACCGGUGGCGAAGGCGGCCCCCUGGACAGAUACUGACACUCAGAUGCGAAAGCGUGGGGA